AUAAAUAAGGGGAAUGAAGUACUCCCUAAGUUUGAUACUUAAACCGCUUAUAAAGCUGAUGACUUCUGUGAAACA
rnacentral:ncRNA from 2 species